rnacentral:rRNA from 1 species
CCUACGGGUGGCAGCAGUGAGGAAUAUUGGUCAAUGGCCGGAAGGCUGAACCAGCCAUGCCGCGUGAAGGUCAGUGCCCUAUGGGCGUUAAACUUCUUUUGUGCGGGAGCAAUAAUGGUCACGUGUGGCCAGACGAGAGUACCGUACGAAUAAGCAUCGGCUAACCUCGUGCCAGCAGCCGCGGUAAUACGGGGGAUGCAAGCGUUUUCCGGAUUUAAUGGGUUUAAAGGGUGCGUAGGCUGUGAGGUUAGUCAGCGGGGAAAUGCCCCCGCUCCACGGGGUGAAGUGCAAUUGAUACUGGCUUGCUGGAAUGCGGAUGCCGUGGGAGGAAUGUGUGGUGUAGCGGUGAAAUGCAUAGAUAUCACACAGAACACCGAUUGCGAAGGCAGCUCACGAAUCCGCGAUUGACGCUGAUGCACGAAAGCGUGGGUAUCAAACAGGAUUAGAUACCCGAGUAGUC